GAAAGAAGGAAAAUCGAAAGAUGGAGGAUGCGUAAUAACAUUUUCCUUUGCUUGUGAUGCUUGCUUGUUUGUUCACUUUUUGAUUUUCCUUCU
rnacentral:ribozyme from 12 species